GUUUUUAAGUAUUCCGAAAACAUUACAUAAAAGCCUGACUUUUAAUCAGUAGGUCUCGGGUUCGAACCCCGACGCUCUCACCA
rnacentral:tRNA from 1 species